rnacentral:rRNA from 1 species
AUUGAACGCUGGCGGUAGGCCUAACACAUGCAAGUCGAACGCGAAAGUCCUUCGGGAUGAGUAGAGUGGCGGACGGGUGAGUAACGCGUAGGAAUCUAUCCUGUAGUGGGGGAUAACGUUUCGAAAGGAACGCUAAUACCGCAUACGCCCCAAGGGGGAAAGCGGGGGAUCUUCGGACCUCGUGCUAUAGGAGGAGCCCAAGUCGGAUUAGCUAGUUGGCGGGGUAACGGCCCACCAAGGCGACGAUCCGUAGCUGGUCUGAGAGGACGAUCAGCCACACCGGAACUGAGACACGGUCCGGACUCCUACGGGAGGCAGCAGUGGGGAAUAUUGGACAAUGGGGGAAACCCUGAUCCAGCGACGCCGCGUGGGUGAAGAAGGCCUGCGGGUUGUAAAGCCCUUUCGGUAGGGAAGAAAUCUCUUGCUCUAACAAAGCAGGAGUUUGACUUAACCUACAUAAGAAGCACCGGCUAACUCUGUGCCAGCCGCCGCCGUAAUAC